rnacentral:rRNA from 1 species
GACGAACGCUGGCGGCGUGCUUAACACAUGCAAGUCGAACGAGUGGGGAACGGGUGAGUAAUACGUGGGUAACCUGCCCUCUUUUUUGGAUACGGCUUGGAAACGGGGUCUAAUACCGAAUAAAGGGGGAUGGGCUCGCGGCGUAUCGGGUUGUUGGUGGGGUGAUGGCCUACGAAGGCGGUGACGGGUAGCCGGCCUGAGAGGGGGACCGGCCGCAUUGGGACCGACAUACGGCCCAGACUCCUACGGGAAGCAGUAGGGGGGGAGAGUGCACAAUGGGCGAAAGACUGGUGCAGCGCCUCCGCGUGGGGGAUGAAGGCUGUGGGGUUGUAAAUCUCUUUCGCAAUCGAACGGGUAGGUGGCGAAGAAGCGCCGGCUAAAUACGUGCCAGCAGCCGCGGUAAUAC